rnacentral:tRNA from 1 species
AGACAGUUAGUCCAAAGUAAGACCUCUGAUUUCGGCUCAGAAAACUGUGGUUCAAACCCACAACUGCCUU